GCUGCUUCUCAGACAGUAUAGAUCUCUACCGUAAUGCAUGGCCCCAUUCCAGAAUCUGUAGGCUCUGUGCUAUGUCUCUUCUACUGAGGACCGCACAUCUUUAUCCAGCGCAGAUACCCCAAGGCACCUUUAGAUCUGUUGGUCCCAUGGCCCAGGCAACAGAGAGCUUGGAACCACAACUUGGACUUGCUCCCCGUUCAAAACUGGUGGUUUUCUGAGUCAUCAGAGAAAUGGAACAGAAGUUUAGACUACGUUGCCUUCAAAAUCCAGAGACACUCCCGGGCAUUCUGCCUCUGUCCUAGUGCUAUAAGAUGCAAAGUGCAGCAGCUUGUUCUUUACCUUCGGGGGAUAUCCCCACACAUCCCAGACAAGUGGAACGCUAUAAAACUCACCAAUGUGGCGGGCUUCUGAAUCUUUGUGGAGUUUAUCUCCUACUUUCUCCCAUGCAGGUGUCUCAGUGCGUUUGGGAUACUUGCCAAUUCCUGCUCACCGGUUCCAAUUACCAUAGCGUCACCAAUACAGUGGAUCAGCAUGAUGUUCUGCUAUAUCAUGACAGAAAGCAAGAGAGUUAACAUAGCCCCGAGGCAAGACAGUGAGACACAAUAAUCUAUUAAUUUACUGCCAUGGAUCCCUCUGGAUCAAGAAACCCUGACUAUCACUUCAACUUCCUGCCUAUCAAGCAAUUAUGUUCGUUGGGCCUCUGAAAGCCCCCACUGAACUUCUCCAAAAUGCUCAUCUCUUCGUCGUCAGUGUGAUUUUUACUGACUUAGUAAAGACCAUGUCGUCUGAGUGAUGGGUUCUUGGACCAUACACGGUAGACCCAUGUUUAAUGUUCCCACUUCCCUAAGUCUUCUGAUCUCUUCUUUAACACGAUGCCAAGGUGAUUCUGGCAUCUCAUUCUGGUCACUGUGUCCCCUUGUGGAGUCCAGGCUUCAAAUAGCCAGCCCGGCAAGUUAUGCAGGUGUUUCUUGACACAAAGUAAAGUGUGAAUCAUAAAUGAAGUA